CGGUUGUGGUGGUUCCUAGGUCUUGGAUUCCAGGGCGGCGGCCCUGGUGGUGGUUGCGCGGUGCUCAUGGGCAGAGCCCGUCGCUUGGUGCUGCCCGAUGGUCAUGGUCGUGUGGGCGGCGUGGUUGUCGGGGUGCGGCGUUCGAUGGCAGUGAGUAUUGGCCGGGGUGAAAACCUGCUGUUUCUUCGGACAGACUGGCAGCGGCGUAGCUCGUUGCCUUCUUGAAGGCGUCGUCGCGGCUCUCAUUGUCUGUCGUGUGGCUCCGGGGGAAACCUUGAUCCUCGGAUCAGGCGGUGGCGACGCUACCGUGUCGUACCCUUCCUGAAGGCACCGUCUUGGAGCCCACGGUUUGUCGUAUGCGGCUACAUCUCUUCGUGGUGGCGUGUUCACUGGUGGAGUCCCGGGUGCUCGAGUAGUGCUAGGGGUCGUGUUGCUGCGCUCAGCGCCUGUGUAUCCCGCCUUAGGUGUGUGUGUGUGUUGUGGUGGUGUGCGUCUGUACCUGGAUGUUGUUGGUCAUUACUUUAUUUAUAAAGCGGGGCGAAAGCCUUUUUCGGUAAAGAUAGGAGACGAAGCGAAACCUCAAAGGUAAGAGCAUGUUCAAUGCUGAACCCUUCAAGAGGCGCUUAGGAAGGUAAAAAAAUAAAUAUCACAAAAUAUACCUAAGCGCCCUACCCUCCCAAUGCUAAGCGCUAAUUACAUCCACGCGCGCCUGGCAGAGCGAAGAAAAAAGGCCUCACGCCUGAUGCAAUCCUUUGGAGUAAAUUACAUCUAUAGUACUCAAACUUGACACUAGGGUUCACUUUCAUCACUGUAUUCGGGAAGUGUCAAAAUACGGUCACUGGGAUUGCGUAAAUGUGUCACCAUGUGGUCACCGCUACUGUAUCCAAACGUAGUUCGCUGAUGUGGCAUAUGUUGACUAGUCCUAACCGUUGACUUGCUUACGUGGGAAGCUCAUCAUCUUCUCAUCCCUCUCUGUACCCGAUGAAUGAAAUGAACCUGAGAAUCGCCUGCCACAUAUGCCUACCAACCAUGGAUGAUGGAGCCCGCGGCGAUGUACCACAUGGCUGCUCGGCUCUCUUUUGUCAACAACCUCUACUUCCCACCGCCAUUCUUCACGCCAUGCCAUCCGCGUCAAGGUGGAAGACCUCUCUUCGUCGAGCAGUACGGCGGUGCGCUGCACUCGGACGAGCUCACCCUGUUGGACAUGCUCCGAGAUGACUACGAGGUCGGCUCGCACCUCAGCCCCUUGCGAGCCGCCCCCUCCUGGAAAGCCCAGUUCCUCUGACGUGUACCUUAUCUGCCUAGUGCGUGAGGGACAGCACUUCUCUGACCCAGGAACCUCCGCGAGCGCCCAUGUCGCCGCCGUCACCGCAAUAUACAUCCCCUCUAGCAUUGCCAAACUCACAUAUGGUGUUCCAAAUUUAGAGCGCUGCCUCCGUGCAUGGCGACCUCUGUGCGUUUCACCGGCUCAAUGCGAGGCACACGAUGGUUAGGUUGUAGCCCCGGCGAACCCGUGGAGCUCAACACCAUCGCCCCGCGGCGGCAGAAAGAAUAGGUGCACAUGAUAUUUGGCGGGGCAAACCCGUACGUGAGCAGGCCGACAUCCUCACAGCUCUCCAUGUCGAGUCCCCUCAUGUGUACACCAUUGCACCAUGGGAUCCUUCUUAACAAAGACCAGCCCAAACUGGCAUCCGGCGUGCCGACCAGGACGCCAACCGCGAGUAUGCCUACGAGGUGUGGGGGUCUGGCUGGAUGAGAGAUGGGAAACUGCAGGUGAAUAGCUACGCCAGGUAGGCGAGAGAGGCUGAGCAUAUGCAGAGGAGCAUGAUAGAGUGUAAGACUAUGUUGAAGAAAUGGCAAACAUGGUGCCGAUCAGCCACGCACGCACCUGUGCACUUGCAAACAUGGCGCCGGCGGUCGGCCAACGACGGUGAUGAGCUUCAAGUUGGGCGUGGCACGGGAGUUGGAGAUUUCGUGUCUGAUGGACUAAGAAACGAACGAAUCAUCGUUAAUGUGCCAUAGGAUGCUUUGGGAGCUCUAGAAGGAGGUGUUGGAGAGCUGCCAUGGCGGUGGGAGCUCGGCAUGUGGUGCACAGGUGGAUGCGGAUAAGGUGUUCGACAGAAUUUUUAGGGAGGAGUGGUAGGAGAGAGAGAGAGAGAGAGAGAGGUGUAUUUGCCACGUCAGGGAAAUACAUUGGAUACGGUACUGGUGACCGUAGAGUGACAAGUCCCAACAACCUUGGUGACCGUAUUUUGACCUUUGUUGAAUACAGUGACCAAAGUGAACCCUAGGAUCAAGUUCAGAUACUAUAGAUGUAAUUUACUCCAAUCCUUUGCAUCGAUGCCACACUUGAAGCUAGGAUUUGAUGGGCUAACUGCUAAUCGGCCGGGAAAUCAAUAGGGAAUAUAUCCUGGCAUCCGUCUAAGCGUCUGGCGUUGGAGAUGCCCUAAAUGGCUAGUGGGUCCUGGGGUUAAUCAGUGUGUCGCCAAUAAAAAAUUGUUUAUUUACUACAGGUGUCACCACCACGCCGUGGUGUCAGGACAUCUCCAACGACAACCCGUAAAUUUCCUCCGCAUCCGUCCGAGGACAGCGGGACCAGUCCGCGGACACGGAUGCGGGAGGACGCCAUCCAACCGUACAGGCAAACAUAACUAUUUUAGUUAUUUUUUAGUGAAAAAAGGCCUAAUACAAAGGAAUAUAUAGAUGUUUUCUUGUGAUCUGGGGGCCAUGGUCCAGGGUGGCCCCCCAAGAAGCUCCGACACUACAACCAUAGUCGCAUACAUUUUGACAACUGUUCGAAUCAAUCGGACGAAAUUUGUGUAAACCGCGCGAAUUUUGAUAUAAACACGUCAGAUUUCAUUUGAAAUAGGAUAAUUUGUACAUAAAACCAAACGAUAUUUUGUCUGAUGAACUAAAAACCUUAAAAUAAAACUCUAAACUACCCUAUACUUGACGGUGACCUCAUAAGGCUGGCCGGUGGCUUCUCCCCCAUCAUCGUCACCCGAUCUGGUGUCGCAGUCAUUGUCGGCGUCGUCUGGCUUUGGGCGGCGGAAGGUGGCGGCGUCGCGGCAAGGCUUCCCGGCAGCCGCCUGACGCUCGCGGAUGACCCUUUCUGCUUCCUCCUGCGCUGUGCACAGUGCGACCGCGACCACCGACGACGUGGGCAGGGAGAGAGGGUGGUGGACCUUGGAUGAGGCGGAAUUGGCGGCGGCGAUCUCGUUGCGUGACCACUCCUCGUCGUACUUGGCCAUCUCCCCGUCAAGGCGGUGGAGAUGGCGCUUACUCGUCUCCGCCAUCGUCACGGAGCGGUCUAGAGCCUAGGCGUAUGCCAAGCCUGUGUCCGCUGCGAUGUGUGGCGGUGGGACGUCGAAGUCAGCGAACUCCAACCAGUGCGCCAUGUUGCGCCUGUCUAGCUAGCGUCGCUCCCUGUCGGCAUACUCCUGCACCGUCAGGGCGCUCCAGGAUGACCAGGAGCUGUCGGUGCCACCGAGGUAGUGUUGAAGGCGACCGCGUGCUUUAGCGAUCACAUUGGGAAUGGGCGGCGGCGAGCGGUGCUCCGCCUUGACGCGCCAGGGUGAGGGAGAGAGCCGCUCCUCUUUGACGCGUCAGGGAAACGGAGAGAUCCACUCCUCUUUCACGCGCAUUGGCGGCAGCGAGAGACGCUCUUCCUUCACGUGGCAUAUGAUUUGGACACCAUAGUUCCGCGACAGAGAGCGCGGAGGGGAUGCCGGCUUUGACUUCACAUGGAGGAGCGGCCUUGAUGGCCGAACUGGGCUGUUGGGUGGAGCACGGAGCGACGGGGCAUCAACUCCAUCUGCUCAUCGUACUCCACGGGCGCGUACACUUGGCCUGCCACCACCGACACGGACUGGUGUUGUUGCUGCUGCGGCGGCUGGUCCUCCUCAUCGCUAGAGGAGAUGACGAUCUCCGCCUUCGUCGAUGAGCUGCAAGCUGAUGAGGACGAUGGUCGGGAGUUCGAGGGGCGGUGUCACCAUGAUCUGCCAGAUCCCGCCCCAGAACCACCGCCUACCGGCGCUGACACCUAGGACUUGCCCAUCACCGGAGUUGUGGAGGGAGAUGGGCAGAGAGAGGGAAGGAGGAGGAGGAGGAUAGAUUGCGAUAUUGACGGUUAAUACGUCUCCAACGUAUCUACUUUUCCAAACACUAAUGCCCUUGUUUUGGACUCUAACUUGCAUGAUUUGAAUGGAACUAACCCGGAAUGAUGUUGUUUUCAGCAGAAUUGCCAUCGUGUUAUUUUUGUGUAGAAAUAAAAGUUCUCAGAAUGACCUGAAACUUCACGGAGGCACAUUUUGGAAUUAAUAAAAAAUAUUGGUGAAAGAAUCAACAAAAGGGGUCCCACACCCUAGCCACGAGGGUGGGGGCGCGCCCCCCUAGGGCACGCCCCUGCCUCGUGGCCCCCCUAGAGCUCCACCAACCUCAACUCCAACUCCAUAUAUUCACGUUCGGGGAGAACAAAAUCAAGGAGAAGGAUUCAUCGCGUUUUACGAUACGGAGCCGCCGCCAAGCCCUGUUCUUCCUCGGGAGGGCUGAUCUAGAGUCCGUCCAGGGCUCCGGAGAGGGGAAUCCGUCGCCAUCAUCAUCAUCAACCAUCCUCCAUCACUAAUUUCAUGAUGCUCACCACCGUGCGUGAGUAAUUCCAUCGUAGGCUUGCUUGACGGUGAUCGGUUGGAUGACAUUUACCUUGUAAUCGAGUUAGUUUUGUUAGGGUUUGAUCCCUAGUAUCCAUUAUGUUCUAAGAUUGAUGUUGCUAUGACUUUGCCAUGCUUAAUGCUUGUCACUAGGGCCCGAGUGCCAUGAUUUAAGAUCUGAACCUAUUAUGCUUUCAUGAAUAUAUGUGAGUUCUUGAUCCUAUCUUGCAAUUUAUAGUCACCUACUACGUGUUAUGAUCCGGCAAACCCCGGAGUGACAAUAGUCGGGACACUUCCUGGUGAUGACCGUAGUUUGAGGAGUUCAUGUAUUCACUAAGUGCUAAUGCUUUGGUCCGGUACUCUAUUAAAAGGAGGCCUUAAUAUCCCUUAGUUUCCAAUAGGACCCCGCUGCCACGGGAGGGUAGGACAAAAGAUGUCAUGCAAGUUCUUUUCCAUAAGCACGCAUGACUAUAUUCGGAAUACAUGCCUACAUUACAUUAAUGAACUGGAGCUAGUUCUGUGUCACCCUAUGUUAUAACUGUUGCAUGAUGAAUUACAUCUGACAUAAUUAUCCAUCAUUGAUCCAUUGCCUACGAGCUGUUCACAUAUUGAUCGUUGCUACGUUACUUCUCCAUUACCACUGUUACGAUUGCUACAAAACUACUACUAUUACUUUUGCCAACAUUACUGUUACUUCCAUACUACUUUGCUACUAAAUACUUUGUUGCAGAUAUUAAGUCUUUCAGGUUUGGUUGAAUUGACAACUCAGCUGCUAAUACUUGAGAAUAUUCUUUGGCUCCCCUUGUGUCGAAUCAAUAAAUUUGGGUGUUAUACUCUACCCUUGAAAACUGUUGUGAUCCCCUAUACUUGUGGGUUAUCAAGACCUUUUUCUGGCGCCAUUGUCGGGUAGCUCUAUUCUCUGAGUCACUUGAGAUUUAUAUCUGUUGAUCACUAUGAGGAAUUUGAAAGAUCAAAUAACCAAGAUUUUUCCCAUGAGGGGAGGUAAGGAACUGCCAUCUAGCUCCACACUUGAUUCUCCUUCUAUUUUGAUUAAACUUGCGACACCUACACCUGCUAUUGAUUCUGACAUGUUGCAUGUUAUUUAUGAUGCCACUUCUGCUAUGCAUGAUGCUUAUGAUGAUACUACUUCUCUGCUUGAUAAUAAUGUGCCACUAGGUGCAUUUCUUGAUGAACAACUUUCUAGGGUUAGAAAGAAUGAAAUUACUGAAACUGAUGAUAUUAUUGAAUCUGAUGAUGAAGAUUCUCCCCCUAGAUAUGAAUUGGUUGUUAUACCUGAGGGUUAUGUUAUGGAUCAAGAAACUGCUAGAGACUUUCUUGCUUGCAAUGAUAGAUAUGAUCUUAAGAAACUGUUAGCUAAGUUGAAAGAAAAGUCUUUGCGUGAUAGAAUGCAAUAUGACCCUACUUUUGCUACUUCACCUAUUUGUAUUACUGACAAGGAUUAUGAAUUCUCUGUCGAUCCUGAGUUAAUUACUUUGGUUGACUCUGGUCCUUUCUAUGGCUAUGAAUCUGGAACUGUUGUGGCACAUCUUACUAAAUUGAAUGAUAUAGCCACCCUAUUCACUCAUGAGGAAAAAAUUCGCUUACUAUAUUCUUAAUUAUCUUUUCCUUUCUCAUUAAAGGUGACGCUAAAAUAUGGUUUAAUUUUCUUGCUUCUGGUUGUGUGCGUAGUCCCCGGGAUAUGAUUUAUUACUUUUUUGCAAAAUAUUUUCCCGCUCAUAAGAAACAAGCUGCCUUAAGGGAAAUAUUUAAUUUUGUGCAAAUUUAAGAAGAGAGUCUCCCACAAGCUUGGGAGAGGCUUCUCCGAUUACUUAAUGCUUUGCCUGAUCAUCCUCUUAAGAAAAAUGAAAUACUUGAUAUCUUUUAUAAUGGACUAACCGAUGUUUCCAGAGACCACCUGGAUAGUUGUGCUGGUUGUGUUUUCAGUGAAAAAACUGUUGAGCAAGCUGAAUUGCUAUUGAAUAAUAUAUUGAGUAAUGAUAAUUAUUGGACAUUUCCUGAACCAACUCCUAAUCCAACUCCGAAGAAAAUGGGUAUUCUAUUUCUCAGUCCUGAAGAUAUGCAAGAGGCAAAGAAAUCUAUGAAAGAAAAAGGUAUUAAAGAUGAAGAUGUUAAGAAUUUACCGCCUAUUGAAGAGAUACAUGGUCUUGAUAACCCGACACAGGUAGUAAAGGUAAAUUCUCUCUAUAGAUUUGAUAAGGGUGAAAUCCCAUCUACUAAGUUUGCUAGUCAAUGCUUGGAUGAGUUUGAUAAUUUUAUUGUUAGACAAGAAGACUUCAAUGCUUAUUUUGGUAGACAAUUGAAACAUAAUGCUUAUAUGGUCGAACACUUGAGUGAUUAUAUGUCUAGAGUUAAAAGUGAUCUUAAGCUUAUUAGUAAACAUGCUUCCAUGGUUACCACUCAAGUAGAACAAGUACUUAAGGCACAAGAUGAUUUGCUCAAUGAAUUAAAUAAUAAGAAUAAUGAUAAUGAUGUUAGAGUUAUGACUAGAGGUGGUAAAAUGACCCGGGAACCUUUGUAUCCUG
rnacentral:lncRNA from 1 species